UGGGGAAUAUUGCACAAUGGGCGCAAGCCUGAUGCAGCCAUGCCGCUUGUAUGAAGAAGGCCUUCGGGUUGUAAAGCACUUUCAGCGGGGAGGAAGGCGAUAAGGUUAAUAACCUCAUCGAUUGACGUUACCCGCAGAAGAAGCACCGGCUAACUCCGUGCCAGCAGCCGCGGUAAUACGGAGGGUGCAAGCGUUAAUCGGAAUUACUGGGCGUAAAGCGCACGCAGGCGGUCUGUCAAGUCGGAUGUGAAAUCCCCGGGCUCAACCUGGGAACUGCAUUCGAAACUGGCAGGCUAGAGUCUUGUAGAGGGGGGUAGAAUUCCAGGUGUAGCGGUGAAAUGCGUAGAGAUCUGGAGGAAUACCGGUGGCGAAGGCGGCCCCCUGGACGAAGACUGACGCUCAGGUGCGAAAGCGUGGGGAGCAAACAGG
rnacentral:rRNA from 1 species